rnacentral:tRNA from 1 species
UGGUUCGGUGGUAGAAUCCUGUCUGGCACACAGGAGACCCAGGUUCUAUUCCUGG